CCUGUUCGACACGUCAAGUCAGGGGUACAGCCAGACACACAUCUACCCCCACCCACCGAAAGCCCUGUCCUCCUCAGAAACUCCUGUCCGGUCCCCCGAAUGCCCACUUUGGUACAGCAGUGGCCCCUCUAGCACAGUGUUCAGUGGAAGGUCCUCUUCCCCCACCUCAGUGAACCCAGACAUACAUUUCAACUUCAGUGAGUAGACCACAGCCCCCUCACCGGAUCCCACAGAGAAACUAGAGGACAACACAUCACCUGGAUCCACUCCCUAUUAAUCCAUCCACCCACCCAUCUGUCCACCCACCCAGCCAUUCAUCUGUCCACCCAUCUGUCCACCCACCCAGCCAUUCAUCUGUCCACCCAUCUGUCCACCCACCCAUCUAUUCAUCUGUCCACCCAUCUCUCCACCCACCCAGCCAUUCAUCUGUCCACCCAUCUGUCCACCCACCCAUCUAUUCAUCUGUCCACCCAUCUGUCCACCCACCCAGCCAUUCAUCCAUCCACACUGUGACUUCUACCCACCUGUGAGUGCUUUCAAACUAAUCACAGUCACAUACAGUGCUGGACCCUAAGGACCGCCAGUCUCAUUUUGUGGACGAAAACAAACCAAAACCCACUGGCCCCUCCCCUCAGGCGGAUGUGUGUCUAACCAACACUCUGCCCCAGUUGAGCGACAGCGAGGGGAGCCUAUCCCCAGGCUCCUUUGCAAUGUAUAGACGGACCUGAAGCUGGACGCACGCUGCAGUCUGUCCCAGAUUCAGACUGUGGCUGCUGAUUUAGACACGAUGGGAGAAACAGGAGCUGAUUAUUUCCAUGCUUCAUCCAAACCCUAUUCUAUAUGGAACUGCCCACACAAAAUGUGUCUGUGCAUUGAGUACCUCCUCUCUCUGAGGGAGGGAGGCAGGUUCUGCAUUUUCAGUCAUGGCUGACCAUAUUCUUUGGAACAGUUGAGCCAGUUGAUUAAAUACUUUCUCCAGUUUUGUUGGUGUUGUCCCUUUAUUUUGUGUAUACUGUUUGGGGUUUCCUUUAAAUGAUUUUGGGGGAAAGGGUACAAUACAAUGGGGAUACUAUUUCCUGUCAUUGUCUACACAGCAUUUUCAUACCACUUUGUCGCAAAAUAACAACUCAUUCUAUACACAUACUGGUUAUGUUUGAAGUGGAAAAUAUAUUCCAUAUACCUCCUUCAACCUACCAAACAUAUAAACACACGUGCCUCAACUCCCUUACAACGAGAAUCAGUGUUACUGAAUCUAUUUUUUUUACAGUGUUUCAAGGGUAAACCACUCCAGAGGAAGUAGCUGACUGUCUUUUAGGCUACUUCCGUCUGGACUGGAUCCAGUCCUCAUACUGGUUUAAACAUGUCUGCUGUUUUGCCAUAGUUAAGUGUUUAAUAUGAAUUUAAACGAUUCUAUAUCAUAUGUUGUAAUGCAUAAUAUUUUGCCAUCUGUGUUGCACCUGAGAGGAUAAUAAACAUAUAUUGAAUAUGUAAUUAGGGCUAAAAAAAAAAUAAAAAUAAAUGAGAUGGGAGGGAUCCGUUAAAUCGUUUUUACAAAACAUAUCGUUAUGAAUACAACUUCAUACAAAAUGUUUUUUUCUUUUUUUUUCUUGUACAGUGCCAUUACAUUCUUGGCAUAAUUCUCAGAAUUGUAAAUCUGAAACGUUUCAAUAGAUUAUGUAGAGAACAUGCUUGUCAUUGUGUUUUGUAGUUUGUACGUCGUCUUUUUGUUAUGUAGUCUUGUAUGCUAUCUCAAGGAUGCUCUCAACUGCACUAAUGCAGACCUACCGGAGCUGAAUCUGUACAACAAACCUUUCUUUGACUUUACUUCACGUUGCUUUUUUAUCCUGAUAGUAAGGAUUUAUUUAACGAUUGGUGUUUUUGUAGGUGAAAUUUAGGGCUGUAUUUGUGAUUUUACUUCAUGUGGCAUGUAAUGUCAGCCAAAUACAUUUUGAUGCUGUAUAGAAUCCUCUCCUUAGACUUUCAAAAUAGAAUACCAAGGUUGUUUUAUUAAAAGUCAUAUCGGC